CCUACGGGUGGCAGCAGUAGGGAAUAUUGCUCAAUGGGGGAAACCCUGAAGCAGCAACGCCGCGUGGAGGAUGAAGGUUUUCGGAUUGUAAACUUCUUUUGUUAGAGAAGAUAAUGACGGUAUCUAACGAAUAAGCACCGGCUAAUACCGUGCCAGCAGCCGCGGUAAUACGGAGGGUGCAAGCGUUAUUCGGAAUCACUGGGCGUAAAGCGGGCGUAGGCGGGUUAGCAAGUCAGAGGUGAAAUCCUAAGGUUUAACGAUAGAACUGCAUUUGAAACUGUUAUUCUAGAGUAUGGGAGAGGUAGGUGGAAUUUGUGGUGUAGGGGUAAAAUCCGUAGAGAUCAAGAGGAAUACUCAUUGCGAAGGCGACCUGCUAGAACAUAACUGACGCUGAUGCGCGAAAGCGUGGGGAGCAAACAGGAUUAGAUACCCCGGUAGUC
rnacentral:rRNA from 1 species